UACGGAGGAUCCGAGCGUUAUCCGGAUUCAUUGGGUUUAAAGGGUGCGUAGGCGGAUUGAUAAGUCAGUGGUGAAAGCCUGUUGCUUAACAACAGAACUGCCAUUGAUACUGUUGGUCUUGAAUAUGUUUGAUGUGGGCGGAAUAUGACAUGUAGCGGUGAAAUGCUUAGAUAUGUCAUAGAACACCGAUUGCGAAGGCAGCUCACAAAGCCAUUAUUGACGCUGAGGCACGAAAGCGUGGGGAUCAAACAGG
rnacentral:rRNA from 1 species